GAUUAUGGCUCAGGAUGAACGCUAGCGACAGGCUUAACACAUGCAAGUCGAGGGGCAUCACGGGAGUAGCAAUACAACUGGUGGCGACCGGCGCACGGGUGAGUAACGCGUAUGCAACCUACCUAUCAGAGGGGAAUAACCCGGCGAAAGUCGGACUAAUACCGCAUAAAACAGGGGCACCGCAUGGUGAUAUUUGUUAAAGAAAUUCGCUGAUAGAUGGGCAUGCGUUCCAUUAGGUAGUUGGUGAGGUAACGGCUCACCAAGCCGACGAUGGAUAGGGGAACUGAGAGGUUGGUCCCCCACACUGGUACUGAGACACGGACCAGACUCCUACGGGAGGCAGCAGUGAGGAAUAUUGGUCAAUGGGCGGGAGCCUGAACCAGCCAAGUCGCGUGAAGGAAGAAGGAUCUAUGGUUCGUAAACUUCUUUUGCAGGGGAAUAAAGUGCAGGACGUGUCCUGUUUUGUAUGUACCCUGAGAAUAAGGAUCGGCUAACUCCGUGCCAGCCGCCGC
rnacentral:rRNA from 1 species